rnacentral:lncRNA from 1 species
UCUUGUUACGAUUUAAUCAUUGAUAUUUAACUCUUGUUACGAUUUGAUCAUUAACGUUUUGUAAGUGAGAUGUUAUUUGACAUUAGAGGUGUUACAAAAAGUAUGAUGUGGCAUAAAAUAACAUCGUUAAAUACAACGUGACUUCCAUGUCCCGUCCUCAUAAUCUGAACACUUCUUUUAAAAUUUUUUAACCUUUUUCACUUUUUUAUAUAAUCUGAACACUUCUUUUAAAAUUUUUUAACCUUUUUCACUUUUUUAUAUUACUUUAUUUCAUUUUUAUUUAUUUUUCAUUUUCUUCUUAUUUAGUCCUUUCUCCACAAAGCUCCCAAACACCAACCAUCUCUACCGACCGCAUCAUUACCACCCCAAGCCAUCUCACCACGGUUCACCUCUCUCACCAUCACCUUUUCCUUAGCUCUCUCUCGAACCCUCAACAACCAUCAUCAAGCUAAGCUACUCUCAACUGUUAGAACCAUUUCACCACUUACAAUCAGCCCUUCCUUAAAAAAACUACACUUAGACCCUAAAAUCUAAGCUUUCUCACCACCACCUUCAUUUUAGCUCCUCAUCACCCCAAAUAAACCAUCACCAAGCCCCACUUCAACUAUUCUCACCACCACUGUAAAUCUUUUUAUAGAACCAAUCCCCAUUACCAACCCCAAAACAAAUUACUUGUAUAACCUGUAAAAUUAAUAAAUGCAAUCAAAUUAAAAAAGAAAGUAAAGGAUAAACCCCUUUGUUCAAACAACGACCUGCAAAUCAAUGAAAGGAUAAAAAAAGAAGCAAAAUAAAGUAAAAAAGAAAGAAAGAAAGAGGAGACUUAUCUUAAAUCUACCAUGCAUGACGCUCCGG